rnacentral:lncRNA from 12 species
GUACAGCCCAUGCUCAUAGGUGCUUGCUCACGGACAGGUAGGGGCAGAAAGUGAAAUACCCGCAGUCAGGCAUAUGGACAAGCAUGUCACCCUGAAGCCCCCCCACCCCACCCCACCCCACUCCGGGGAACUCAGACUAUAACCUCGCACGCAUUUGCACACAAAACUAUGGCCCUAGGAGCUCUAUACCAAAGCGCAGAAUGAGCAGAAUUCGCCAGAAAUUCUAGCGGAAUUUAACAUUGUUAAGAAGCAUGAAAGGUGAACGCAGUGUUAGCUCCCCCCCCCCCCCCCAUCUGCACAAGAACAGCAAGUAAACCCCGGCUUGAGCCCCCACGGCCCCCACGGCCCCAAGAACAGGCCUGCGGAUGUCGUUCCCAGAGCCGCCGGCAGAGGGCGAUGCUGCGAGGCGGUGCGGGAGCUGCGCCCGGGCCCGGUUACCGCGCGCGGGGAAGUUCCUGGGGCCCCGCAGAGUUUCAGGCUUCAAGCGACAAGAGAGGAUCUUCUCUCGUUAGACAACAAAGCACAGCAUCCUGUAUCCGAGGCAUAUGUAGAUGCGGGCAAAUUCACAGGUGGUCCUGAUGUGGGGACCAUGGCCUGCACUCUGAGACACUCUGCACAACUCCAGCGUUCCGUUGCCCAGAGAUGC